AUGACUAAAACAUACUAAGUAUUAUUACUCGGCUAACAAGGAAAGAUAAACAUACGACCUGAACUGAAUUAACCAGUGCGCAUGACCAUAUAAAAAAAUAAACAAACUUCCUUUGACAAUAAGUUUCUAAUUAAAUCAUGGCUGCGCCUGGGCAGCGUUAUUGUGAGAGUGAAAGUGGACGUGCUGCUACUCCCCUCAUUCCCAACAUGUAUCAAGUACCUGCAUUGAGUAAUGCAAGAGUGAGAUGACACAUCUCAGCAAGUAAAAUAAUAUCAAACAGUUUAACCACAUAAGAACAUUGUUUUACCACCACUUAAUUCCACAACCUUCUUAUUACGAAGGUGCAGCACGUAUACAACGUACAACGCACCUAGUUACCACACCUCGCAGGUAGAAACCACAAUAGUAACAUAGUAAUGUCACACUUCAUAUAUUCCUCAUGAGUGCAAAUGUCUGCAAAUGCAAGGAUGACUUCUGCCUUCAUACCUCUAAGGAUAUGAAGCCGCAUCGUACCCCUCCUCGGGCAACGUACGAUGCUAAAAAUGUACCGGUACGGUCGGACCAUAAGAUCACGACAUAACUUCAAAAUGCAAGAUGGAUGAUGCGAUGUGCAUGUCAUGCCUACAACACUUCAUAUAACAUGAUUCAAAAAGACACUUCAACUUCAUCUAGAUGGGAAUCAACCACAUAUAUCAUUACCAAAUUAUGAUCAUCCACAAUAUUAGACAAUUGAGAAUUAAUACUUCCAAACAAAUAAACUUCAUCAUAGAAUUCAAUGAUUAACAUAAUUAAAACUUAUGCAUACUCAAUGACAGGGAAUAGGAUGCAAACCGAACGGUAGCAACCACCACUGUAUUUACUUGCCUUUACCGGAAGUUCGGGCAAAUCCCUAAGUACGAUCCGGAAGUCCACCACCUGUUUUUGACACCCAACUUAGUACACCAAUUUCACAUAAUCAGGCUCAUAAGCGACACCGCACCUACGCACAAACUCAAACCCCGCCGCGGGUUACAUCUCUCCCUACACCCACCAAACUGCAGCGGCGCUGCUUAAUAAUUUCAUAACUUUAAAAUUAUGACAGCAGUGGUAACAAACAAAAACUCCAGAGGCAUCUACAUAAAAUUCCCCACAAAUUUUGUAUACACUUUAUAAUUAAAUUCCAAUAUCUAAUUAGCCCAAAACAGUCCAGAAGAUGAACCCUGUAAUCUGUUUUUCUUUGUCUUUUGGACAGCGACAUACCCAGAUUCAAACAGCGAUAUCUUUUAAAAUAUAAUUCCAAAUCAUGCGCAUAAGUACUCAUUGGAAAGAUAAGACAAAUCCCUACAUGAUUACCAUACUGGUUAACACUAAUUACCCACGAAAAAUUCCCAGAAACUGCUAAUACCACUGCUGUUCACCCACCUGAAAAAUCUGUUUUUUUGGACAGCAACAUAACCGGAUUCAAACAACGAUAUCUCCUGAAUUAUAAUUCCGAAUCGAGCGCAUAAGUACUUGUUGGAAAGAUAACAUAAAGCCCUACAUGAUUCUCAUACUGAUUAACACUAAUUACUCCCGAAAAAUCCCUAGAAACUGCUAAUACUGCUGCUGUUCAUCCCCUGAAAAAUCUGUUUUUUUGGACAGCCACAUACCCGGAUUCAAACGGUGAUACCUUUCAAUUUAUAACUCCAAAUUGAGCGCAUAAAUACUCGUUGGAAAGGUAAGGUAAAGUUCUACAUGAUCCCCAAAAUGAUUUCCCUUAAUUCCUCACGAAAAAACACAGAAACUGCUAGACUACUGCUGUUCACCCACCACCUAAACUUCUGGACAGCCCCCCUCUACCCCAAUCGCAAACGCAACCUCUAAUCAAUUAAAUUGCAGCGCAAAUGAACAAGGGAUGAACACAAAAAUCACCUUGGAUUUUCCCCCUUUCCUUCCUCCCUUCUUCGCUCCACCAAAACGAUUGAAGACUCGCACCACGACGACGAUGAUCCGAGCGGCAAGGAUUGGCACCUUGGGAGGAGGGGAUUGAGAGGGGGGCGGCUAGGGUUUGGUGGCUGCAAGAAUUGAGAGAGGAAGAGAUGGGCAGGGGGGGCGGCGGCCAAGGGGGAAGAGAAGUG
rnacentral:lncRNA from 1 species